rnacentral:tRNA from 1 species
GAGGGUAUAGCUCAGUGGUAGAGCAUGUGCUUAGCAUGCACAAGGUCCUGGAUUCAAUCCCCAGUACCUCCA